rnacentral:lncRNA from 1 species
GCUGCUGAAUUGAGAGAAUAUGUCUUCUGGCAUUCUGCAUGAAAUAGCCCAUUUGUAGGUCCGUGUGCCUGAAGAUUUGCCACUUAGGUUAUUCCUGUGGGAAACACACAGAAGAAUAAGACCUAGGAUUAUGCCUGUGACGGGAAAAGCUGCAGCGAUGACUAACUGAAAGGGAUGGUCCAUCACACACCAAAUACCACCUUCUUCCACCAGGAGAUGAGGCAACUGGCAGAAGCCAUCACCAUCAUUCCAAGAAAUCUUGUUUCUCUGCAACUGGAGAUUUAG